CCUACGGGUGGCAGCAGUGGGGAAUAUUGGGCAAUGGGCGCAAGCCUGACCCAGCAACGCCGCGUGAAGGAAGAAGGCUUUCGGGUUUUAAACUUCUUUUCUCAGGGACGAAGCAAGUGACGGUACCUGAGGAAUAAGCCACGGCUAACUACGUGCCAGCAGCCGCGGUAAUACGUAGGUGGCAAGCGUUAUCCGGAUUUACUGGGUGUAAAGGGCGUGUAGGCGGGAAAGCAAGUCAGAUGUGAAAAGCAUGGGCUCAACCUGUGGCCUGCAUUUGAAACUGUUGUUCUUGAGUGCUGGAGAGGCAGACGGAAUGCCUGGUGUAGCGGUGAAAUGCGUAGAGAUUAGGAGGAACACCAGUGGCGAAGGCGGUCUGCUGGACAGCAACUGACGCUGAGGCGCGAAAGCGUGGGGAGCAAACAGGAUUAGAUACCCGGGUAGUC
rnacentral:rRNA from 1 species